UAAAUCUGUAAUACAGUUUAAUUUCGAAUGAUUGCAUCGAGACUCCAGACUUUUUCUGCUCGAGUAACCGAGUUAAGUGAGAAAUUUGUCAAUGUAACACCUAAAUCUUGGGGACAGGUUCACAAUUUAAUUUCAUCGUUAAUUUAGUUUGAUUUGGUUUGGUUUGGUUUGGUUUAGUUUCGAAUGAUUAUAUCGAGAUUUGAGAUAAUUUUUCUACUCGAGUUAAGUUAGAUUUGAAAUGAUUUUUCUGUUCGAAUUAAGUUAGAAAUUUGUCAAUAUAACACCUAAAUCUGGGGAAUAGCUUGACAAUUUAAUUUCAUCGUUAAUUUAGUUUGAUUUGGUUUGGUUUGGUUUAAUUUAGUUUCGAAUGAUUAUAUCGAGAUUUGAGAUAAUUUUUCUGCUCGAGUGAAGUUAGAAAUUUGUCAGUAUAACACCUAAAUAUGGGGGACAGCUUGAUAAUUUAAUUUCAUCGUUAAUUUAGUUUGGUUUGGUUUGGUUUGGUUUGGUUUAGUUUCGAAUGAUUAUAUCGAGAUUUGAGAUCAUUUUUCUGCUCUAGUUAAGUUAGAAAUUUGUCAAUAUAACACCUAAAUCUGGGGAAUAGCUUGACAAUUUAAUUUCAUCGUUAAUUUAAUUUAAUUUAGUUUGGUUUGGUUUGGUUUAGUUUAGUUUCGAAUGAUUAUAUCGAGAUUUGAGAUAAUUUUUCUGCUCGAGUUAAGUUAGAAAUUUGUCAAUAUAACACCUAAAUAUGGGGGACAGCUUGAUAAUUUAAUUUCAUCGUUAAUUUAGUUUGGUUUGGUUUGGUUUGGUUUAGUUUCGAAUGAUUAUACCGAGAUUUGAGAUAAUUUUUCUACUCGAGUUAAGUUAGAAAUUUGUCAAUAUAACACCUAAAUCUGGGGAAUAGCUUGACAAUUUAAUUUCAUCGUUAAUUUAGUUUGGUUUGGUUUGGUUUGGUUUAGUUUCGAAUGAUUAUAUCGAGAUUUGAGAUAAUUUUUCUGCUCGAGUUAAGUUAGAAAUUUGUCAAUAUAACACCGAAAUCUGAGGAAUAGCUUGACAAUUUAAUUUCAUCGUUAAUUUAGUUUAAUUUAGUUUGGUUUGGUUUGGUUUGGUUUAGUUUCGAAUGAUUAUAUCGAGAUUUGAGAUGAUUUUUCUGUUCGAAUUAAGUUAGAAAUUUGUCAAUAUAACACCUAGAUCUGGGGGACAUCUUCAGAAUUUAAUUUCAUCGUUAAUUUAGUUUAGUUUGGUUUAGUUUGGUUUCGAAUGAUUAUAUCGAGAUAUGAAAUCAUUUUUCUGCUCGAGUUAAGUUAGAAAUUUAUCAAUGUAACACCUAAAUCUGUCGGACAGUUUGACAAUUUAAUUUCAUCGUUAAUUCAGUUUAGUCUAGCUCAAACCUGUGAUUACACCCGAGUCACACUUUGAAACACACAAUUCUAUAUUCUUCUCAUUGUAAAAUUGGCACGCGACGACUCGGACAACGUUAGAUUACAGAAUAAUUUACGUUGUGAUUCACUUUGAAGGGGACCCAAGAUUUUUUUCAAAACCUGAUGAAUCUUUUGAAAUCCGAACACUUUUGGACAGUGUGGAGGAUCGUCGAUUACGUUACCUUUCCGUGGAGCCAGUAGAACCGCGUUCGAAGCCUUCCUCCCGUUCUUCAGCAUCUCGGCGUUCUCGGCGACUUGCACUGGCAAAUCGUACAUCAGCGGACAACGUAGCAGGAAACCGAUCCUCUCCGAAUUGUCGUUCGAGGAUAGGAAUCUCUUCAUAUCAUGCGGAGUGACCGUCUUUUGGAGCGCCAGGAAAUUCGAGCGGAAGUAAUCGCUCACCUCGUCGUCGUCCAUUUUCUUUUUUCCACACACUUUCUGUACUUCGACGUUUUAGUUUUACGAGUGACUGAUUCGCUGCACUGCUUUCUCUUUUAUAGUGUUCACAUGGCUCGGGAGAAGAAAGGACGUUGACCAACGAUUUUUCAGAAAGAUUUUCCACUUCUUUGGUGACACGCAAUUUGAUUGGCAAUGUUGCACUCGAGUGUAAACACGUUGCCGGUCGACGAUAGUCGAAGCUACUGGAUAUCGUCCAAACAUCCGAAAACCUCAUCUAUUCCCGUACGUGCUAUUUCUAGUGCUACUCUAGAGUUUGUGUGCGAUGCAACGAGGAUAUGCAACACAGGCAUGUUCGAUGGCAGGUUGAUUAGGGAAUUUAAUGGUUCUAAUCUGUUUUACAAGCAGCAGAAUCCUUUGGUUGAAACUUGUUGGGAUUAACGUAGACCAUCGAUAUUACUACUACGGAGUUGUUUGGACUUGACGAAAAUAAAUAAUUUACACACGUACAGCGUAUGCGAUAUAAACCAUAUAUUUAUAUGUGGUUGUUGUUGCAAGUUUGCAAUUUAAGUACAUACAUAUGUACAGAGAUUUACAAAAUAUCGAUAUCGAAAUGUACUUUGAAAAGCAUCGAUCGGUUAAUUUGAAAACGCAUUUUGUAAAUCAUUCGGACGAAUGCUGAUUGGGCUAUCGAUGAUUUUAAAGUGCGUUAAUUCUAAUGGUACGAUGAAUACUAAGCGAUGAUUACUUUGUUAAUUGUACUAUUAACGAUAACAAAGUUUGCUCUCGUCAAAGUUCUUUCUUCGAAUCGCGAAUCGUGUAUGUAUCUCCCCGUUAAUAAGAAAAUAUUGACAGUUGGUUGUUAAUCAGAUGUUUCGAAAAUUAUUUGCGAUAAAUUUUAAUUGACAUGUACUGUUUGAAAAGAGUGUCAUUAGGGGGAAAUGCAAAAGAACUCAAGUGCAUAGAUAUACAUAUAUAUAUAUAUAUAUAUAUAUAUAUAUAUACCCUGUCUCGUCAAUUAUGAGUAACAUGUAAAAACGAAACGAGAAAAGAGAAUUUUAAAAUAGCUAAACGGCUAAUUGUACUAGAAAAUACUCGUUAAAAAGAUCUGCACGACGAACAAGCGGAAACGUUCGUUCCUCUCUAAAUUG